AUGGCAGCCCCAUCCCGCGGGGGAUCAUGCUACCUGUCUCUGGGUGCCCGCGCCGAGGCAGCGUCCCGCUUCCCUACACAGACGGCCUUCCCCUCCCGUCUGCUCAUUCAGCCGCGGAAGCCCCUGGGAGCCCCCACCCCUCCCCGUCCCGCAGUGCUCUCCCCGCCACCCCCCCCCCCCCCCCCGCCCCCGCGCACUCACCCUUGCGCACCCACGCGGCCUUCCUGGCGGGACAGCGCUUCCGGCGUCCUCGCCAGGCCCGGGAAGUGGGCACGGUGGUGCUGCCGGCCGUUGGUCGCUGCCCCGACCCACGCACUGCGACGCCGAGGGUGGGGCGAGCGGUCUACGGGGCCCGGAGGUGCGGCGGGACGGGGCUGGCGGGCCGUCCGGGUCCGGGGAGAGGACCGCGGCCAGCGGGGGCUGCUGCGGAAGCCCGCACCUCGUCUUCCCCGCGGGCCGGGCCUGUGCCCCGUCGAGACCUGCGCGGGCUGUGGCUCCGUCCUCCGGCCCCCAGGGGGCGGCGCGGCGCGGCGCCGCGCCCCGGCGGCCCUGCCCUCCCUCCCCAGCGGCCAGGAGGCGGUGCCCGGUGACGCCGCGCCGGCACGCUGUACUCGCCGUCGAGGCCGCCGUCUGUUCGAAGGCUCUCCGGCUUCGCGGUUCUCCGCGAAGCGGCCCAGGGGCGUGAGUGUCGCCAGAGGGCGACGUGGGGUGCGCGCCAGGUCCCACAACGAGGCCAGGGGCUGGCGGGGCCGGCGGGAGAGCAAAUACGAGGCAGCGUGGCGCCAUGGCGGGGCCGCCCCGACGGGCAUGGGCCUGCAGAGCGUGGCCGUGGGGACGCUGAGGGUGGGUGCACACGGAGCAGAGGCCAACGAGCGUCCGACAGGGGACCUGGACAGAGGGACGCCCCUAACAUUAUUCCCUCUCCCCAGGCCUGAAUUGCAGUUCCUGUGCCCUGGCACUAAGACUGGCACCUCCUGCGGCCCAUGCCUUUUGCCUGCAUUGCCCCCUGAAUCCCACUCGACUCUCUUCAGCCUGGUUCACACUGAGGCUCAGCCCUCUCCCACUGGCCCGGAGCAGGCCCACCUUUAG
rnacentral:lncRNA from 1 species